GCUGGGCAUGGUGGCGCGUGCCUGUAAUCCCAGCUACUUGGGAGGCUGAGGCAGAAGAAUCGCUUGAGCCCAGGAGGUGGAGGUUGCAGUGAGCAGAGAUCGCAUCACUGUACUCCAGCCUGGGCAACACAGCGAGACUCUGCCUCAA
ensembl:misc_RNA Metazoa_SRP Metazoan signal recognition particle RNA